GACGAACGCUGGCGGCGUGCUUAACACAUGCAAGUCGAACGGAAAGGCCCUGCUUUUGUGGGGUGCUCGAGUGGCGAACGGGGGAGUAACACGUGAGUAACCUGCCCUUGACUUUGGGAUAACUUCAGGAAACUGGGGCUACUACCGGAUAGGAGCUCCUGCUGCAUGGUGGGGGUUGGAACGUUUCGGCGGUUGGGGAUGGACUCGCGGCUUAUCAGCUUGUUGGUGGGGUAGUGGCUUACCAAGGCUUUGACGGGUAGCCGGCCUGAGAGGGUGACCGGCCACAUUGGGACUGAGAUACGGCCCAGACUCCUACGGGAGGCAGCAGGGGGGAAUAUUGCACAAUGGGCGGAAGUCUGAUGCAGCAACGCCGCGUGCGGGAUGACGGCCUGCGGGUUGUAAACCGCUUUCGCCUGUGACGAAGCGUGAGUGACGGUAAUGGGUAAAGAAGCACCGGCUAACUACGUG
rnacentral:rRNA from 1 species